GCAUGAUUGUUUGUUUAGAGUCUCUGCACAACAUUUUUUAUUUAAGAGUAAUAUAGGAAAAGCAGCAAUGAUGUUAUGUUUAUUACUGAUCCUUGCGGUUGCCAGUUUGGCCCAAGCAGUCCCACAGGAGAGAUCCGUCAAGCAAAGGAAUCCUUCGAGCGUAUAUAAAGUUUUGGAUGGGCCCAUGAACUGGUCUGGUGCAAAAGAUAAAUGUGAAGCCCUUGGUUGUAUAUUAGCACAGCCUAAAUCUGAGUACGAAAACGAUGCUUUGCAAGCUGUACUUGUUUCAGGUUAUUAUUGGCUUGGGAUAACAGAUCUGAACCACGAAGGGCGAUUCACUUACUACACUGAUGAUGAAAACAUUGUAUACAAUAACUGGGCUGAAAACAUCCAAUAGAUUACUAUGGAUCUCAUGACUGCGUUGAUAUUAGGGCUAGCGAUUUAACAUGGGAUGACUAUGAUUGUAAAACAGCAGAAAAUAAUGCAGUCUGCGAGUGUCCUCCUAAUGGAGUGAGCGGUGAUCCUCAUAUGAGGACAUUCGAUGGGCGUGCUUAUACAUUCCAAGGCACAUGCUGGUAUUAUCUAUUCAGGGACUGCACUGACAACCCUCGUUUUGAAGUCACAAGCAAGUUUGAACCAAGAGAAGAUAGUACACCAUGGCGAGACCAAGUCAGAACACGAACAAUCGCAUUCAACGUAACUGUUGGAAAUCAAUACGCAAUUAUUGAUGGACUGGAUGUU